rnacentral:misc_RNA from 1 species
AACGCACAUUGCGCCCCUUGGUAUUCCAUGGGGCAUGCCUGUUCGAGCGUCAUCUACACCCUCAAGCUCUGCUUGGUGUUGGGCGUCUGUCCCCGCCUCUGCGCGGCGGACUCGCCCCAAAUUCAUUGGCAGCGGUGUCUUUUUGCCUCAGUCUCGCGCAGCACAUUGCGCUUGCAGCACUGUCGGCGGCCCGCAAUCCAGCAAGCUCCUUUCACCGUCUUUGACCUCGGAUCAGGUAGGGAUACCCGCUGAACUUAA